GAUUGAACGCUGGCGGCAUGCUUUCCCCAUGCAAGUCGAACGGCAGCGCGGGCUUCGGCCUGGCGGCGAGUGGCGAACGGGUGAGUAAUGCAUCGGAACGUGCCCAGUAGUGGGGGAUAGCCCGGCGAAAGCCGGAUUAAUACCGCAUACGACCUGAGGGUGAAAGCGGGGGACCGAAAGGCCUCGCGCUAUUGGAGCGGCCGAUGUCGGAUUAGCUAGUUGGUGGGGUAAAGGCUUACCAAGGCGACGAUCCGUAGCUGGUCUGAGAGGACGACCAGCCACACUGGGACUGAGACACGGCCCAGACUCCUACGGGAGGCAGCAGUGGGGAAUUUUGGACAAUGGGGGCAACCCUGAUCCAGCCAUGCCGCGUGCGGGAAGAAGGCCUUCGGGUUGUAAACCGCUUUUGUUCGGGAAGAAAUCCUCUGGGCUAAUACCCCGGGGGGAUGACGGUACCGGAAGAAUAAGCACCGGCUAACUACGUG
rnacentral:rRNA from 1 species